CACUCUAACAAACACAGAUAGCACUGCUGAAAUACUGCUACUAACUGAUGCACAACAGUGAGCAGGGAGGAAAGGAAAUUCUAGCCAAAGACAGCAGGUAUUCAGGGUAACAUGCAGCUUUUAGGAGUCAAUUCGGAAGAGGAGAUGUGCUCAUAAAGUUGCCAAACUAAAGUGAACUGAAGGUCUCCCGUGAAAAUGAGCAGGAACAUUCAGUUUCUAGGAAGCACAAACAUGCAUUCAUGAUUGGGUGAAUGAAAUCUGGAGCCUAAUGGUGAAAUUCCAGUCUCACUGUGAUGUCACUGCAUUGUGGAGAGAGAAGGCAAUAUCUUUGAGAAAUGUCCAUAAAACCGAAGGUCAUGACAUACAGCAGAUUCUACCAACAGUCCUGAUUAAUGGAGUGAAGCUUGAGCAGAGAUGCUGACAGGCUGGCUCUGCCCUUCUUUAGAUGGAUGGAGAAGAGAGUGGGAGAAGUAACAUCCUAAUAUGAAAGUACGUAUGAGUUCUGUGAGGAGUCAGGUCACUGGAUCUGGCAGUAGGAUCUUCAGAACAUAUGCAUAUGGUGCCAUGCCAAGACUCAGGUGUGAGUGUGCCACCAGUUGUCAUUGCCUAGAUACCAGGUGGUUGGCACUAUAAAAACACCUGUACAGACAGAAUCAUCAGACCAAGGACUUGGGGUGGGUAAGGAGACUAAAUUUGCUUUUAGCAGUGUGUGGAGUUCACCAGGUAAAUUAUUUAGCAUGUGAUUACUAUUUAGCUUGGCCUGACUAGAAAAGAAACAAAGAUGACACCAUUAGGCUUAUUGUUGUGAACAAGGCUUAAAUUCUCAAGAGUAUUUCUUGGAGCUUCCCACUCCUCCUGCCCCCACAUGUGAUAAAAACUCCAAGGGGUUGAAAAUAUUUACUGGACUCUGCUCCGAACAGCUCCAGCUGAAUUUAAGCCCUGGUUGUGAACUAUAAGUAUGGUAUGAACUGUUUACUUGUUAUUAACCUAACUGACCAACAGAUGUCACUGUUCCCCUCCAAAAAUAUACAGA